rnacentral:rRNA from 1 species
ACUUAAAUUGAAGAGUUUGAUCAUGGCUCAGAUUGAACGCUGGCGGCAGGCCUAACACAUGCAAGUCGAACGGUAGCACAGAGAGCUUGCUCUCGGGUGACGAGUGGCGGACGGGUGAGUAAUGUCUGGGAAACUGCCCGAUGGAGGGGGAUAACUACUGGAAACGGUGGCUAAUACCGCAUAACGUCGCAAGACCAAAGAGGGGGACCUUCGGGCCUCUUGCCAUCAGAUGUGCCCAGAUGGGAUUAGCUUGUUGGUGAGGUAACGGCUCACCAAGGCGACGAUCCCUAGCUGGUCUGAGAGGAUGACCAGCCACACUGGAACUGAGACACGGUCCAGACUCCUACGGGAGGCAGCAGUGGGGAAUAUUGCACAAUGGGCGCAAGCCUGAUGCAGCCAUGCCGCGUGUAUGAAGAAGGCCUUCGGGUUGUAAAGUACUUUCAGCGAGGAGGAAGGCGUUGUGGUUAAUAACCACAGCGAUUGACGUUACUCGCAGAAGAAGCACCGGCUAACUCCGUGCCAGCAGCCGCGGUAAUACGGAGGGUGCAAGCGUUAAUCGGAAUUACUGGGCGUAAAGCGCACGCAGGCGGUUUGUUAAGUCAGAUGUGAAAUCCCCGGGCUCAACCUGGGAACUGCAUUUGAAACUGGCAAGCUUGAGUCUCGUAGAGGGGGGUAGAAUUCC